rnacentral:tRNA from 1 species
AUUUAAUUAGUAUAACAAGUACAUUUAACUUCCAAUUAAAAAGUUUAUUCCAAAUUAAAUA